UAUUUAUGAGAAUUUUCCAAAUAUGACUCAAAACUUGAUUUUAACCUCAAAAGUAUCUCAAACUUGAAUCAAAUGCAAAAUUAACUCAAAAUGCUAAUGAAAUUACAAACAACCACUUAUGACCAAACAAAAAAAAAACAAAUUUCAUUUUUACGAAUAUAACCCCGUAAACUCUUCUGAGAUUUUGUAAUUCUUUUGAGGUUCUGUAAAUCUUCUGGAAGACUUCCUGCAAGUCUUCUGGAAGACUUGCAGAAUUUUGGGGUUUAAAUUUAGGGUCUAGACGACUUCCAUGAAGUAUUAUCGUGAUUAAUAUUUUAUCAGUUAGGAGAUUUUCUUGAAAGUCUUCUAACUCCCUUAAAAAUAUUUUAGUUUCUAAAUUGAAAAAAAAAAUGACUUCAUUGGAAUUUAUGUCUCCUUUUGUAAAGAAAAUUUACACAUUAUCUCUCUUCUUCUCAAAUAGCUAAAACAAAAUGUAAUGUUUCUCAUUCUAAAACUCUCCAACCUCUUUCUAAUAUUUUUGAACUUAAAAACACCAAACUUUAUAUCAAUUUAUAGUUAUUUCAUGUCUUCUCACUAAUUAUUUUGUUUUUGUAGGUUUUUUAUUACAUGGUUCUCAUCUUCCACUUCUUUGAAGGUAGAUCUAUAAAUCAUAUUUCUUAUUUGGUAACCUAUUGUUGUUUAAAGCUAUUAACUUUUGAAAACUUUUUUGGUUGUUUUAAACUCUUACUUCAUUUUUGAAGUUUUUUUUUAUGUUUUGAAGUCAUUUGAAUGCUUUUGGAUAUGUAGGUUUUUCGUAUCUGAGACAGAUUUUUUCAUCUAUUUCUUUUGAUUAAAUAUAUUAAAUCAACUUGCACAAAAUGAAGAAAACAAAAUUGAUAUAAAACUUGUAUAAUUAUCAAAAAUUAAAACUAUACAGUAUUUGAAAAACUUUAUAGAUAUAUAAAAAAUUAAUGAUUUUAUGAUUAAAAUUUUAAAUUCUUUUAGAAUUAUAAAAUAUAUAAUUAAACAAUAUUUCGAAAUUUGUUUUGAAUAAACUAUAAUAUUGUGAACAACUCUGAGUUGAGGAAACUUCUCACCGCAACAUCGAGCAGGUCGAUUAUUGUGAUAGAAGACAUUGAUUGUUCUGUUGACCUAACGGGCAAGAGAAGGAAGAGAGACGGUGACUUGAGCGCCAAGAAAGAUGGAGGACAAGGCAAAGAAGAUCAAAACCAAAGCAGAGUCACACUCUCGGGGCUUUUGAACUUCAUAGAUGGGAUAUGGUCGGCUUGUGGACAAGAGAGGAUAAUCAUUUUCACGACGAAUCAUAUCGAGAAACUAGACCCGGCUUUGAUCAGGAGAGGAAGGAUGGAUAUGCAUAUUGAGCUGUCUUAUUGUGGCUUCGAGGCGUUCAAGGUUCUUGCUAAGAACUACUUGGACGUUGAUUCUCAUCCUCUGUUUGGUGAAAUUAAGUCUUUGCUGAAGGAAACAAAGAUCGCUCCAGCUGAUGUAGCAGAGAAGCUCAUGGCCAAGAAUCAUAAAAUAGAUGUCGACGGAUCGCUGAAAGACUUGGUUGAGAGUUUGGAGAGGAGGAAGAAGCACCAGAGAGAUCACGGUGAUGAUCACAAGAAGAAGAUUGGUGGCAAGAAACUUGGAAUAUUUCGCGGAUUGUUUUAGGAUAAUGUCUUAUCUUUUGAAACUUUUUUUUUUUUAAUUUUAACCUGUGUGAAUGUAAUAUAUGAGCUGUUUGAUAAUAAUAACUUAGAUUUUUUUUUUUUUAAGAUAAUAAUAAUGAGUUAUAAACUUAUACAAUAGAAAGAGAUGUGUUGCAUACUUGCAUCCAGGCAAAACGUAUAUCUCGUGUACUUCACACACGUUUAAGGAUAAAGCUCCUUUUAAAAUACAAACUUACUCAUUUAAAUCAAUUACAACCAUUGGGAGCAAACCCAACCCGACCGCCCGGACCGUCGUACACAACUUGUAGCGUCUUCUGUUGAACGUUCCC